rnacentral:rRNA from 1 species
UACGGAGGGGGCUAGCGUUGUUCGGAAUUACUGGGCGUAAAGCGCGCGUAGGCGGCCCUGCAAGUCGGGGGUGAAAGCCCGAGGCUCAACCUCGGAACUGCCUUCGAUACUGCGGGUCUCGAGUCCGGGAGAGGUGAGUGGAAUUCCUAGUGUAGAGGUGAAAUUCGUAGAUAUUAGGAAGAACACCAGUGGCGAAGGCGGCUCACUGGCCCGGUACUGACGCUGAGGCGCGAAAGCGUGGGGAGCAAACAGG